CUCACUUGCAGGUUUUGUUUACUGGCGGAGGAGAGGCAGAGAAGAGGAUUUAACAGUCUACCUCUCAUGUGGGAGACUAAAAUAUACGUUUUCGACUUUAUUUUUUGCUGUUGUUGUUGUGCAAUAACAAUGUGGUCAUUUUGAAGGGAGAUAUCCCUCAUGUAAAAUCACCGAAACGCGCUUUAUUGUGAAGAAAUAGUGCGAACAAUUUGACCAACGGUGAAGUCUGACAGUCAAUGUUGUCUUGAAUGGAAGCCUCGUUAAUGUCAGUAUUGACCGAAUCGAGUUUGCGGUUUAAUGAUUUAUUCUCUCCAUACAAGGUUCAGUUGAGUUUAAGUAAACUACCUAUUCAUCGCAAUACUUUUGCGUUUAUUAUUGUGGUAUUUUUUUGUGAAAGACACCAGCGGUGAGCGUGAAACGCAGUGACCCGUGGAUUUGGUUUAGUACGCCACGCCACGCGUGCCAUGAACCUGAAGUUGUCAUAAGGGAAGCUACAGAAUGUGGGACUGCGACACGAGAGAAAUUGCUGCACAUCACUAGCUGUGGUUUUUAUCCUUUCAAUGCAAGGGAAUAAGCCAUUUCCGAAGUAGAUACACGGCGCCAUAGCGAGUGUUACCGAAAGCGUAAUUCAACUGCGAGUUGGUAUCAAAUCGCACUAACUUGCGUUGUGGCCUGCUGCACAGCCAGCUAACAGUAGCUAGCUACUCAGCUUGGCCUGUUCUGACUUUCGAGACUGCGGAUUGAAUCAAGAACAAUUGAAAAGACUCAAUGCCAUGCCAGUUAUUGGCAAGUGAGACGUUAGCUUCGUUUGUCCACAAUGAAUCACACUGUUGCAUUUGUUUGUGGCGAUUUUGAAUAUCCACCAGAUCUGUACAGAUAACUAGCAGUGGCUAACCAGGUAGCUUAGUGAACACGUUGGACUCUUAACUUCCCUCCGCCCAUUUUUCCGGAAUGCAUGUUUUUAUUUUUGUUUACCUCUGGGUUCUCGUGGUUUAGCUAACGAACCAAUUGACAGCUACCACUUGCCAGCUAGUUUUAACCGAGUUGACACGGAUUCUAAACCAGUUCUCGACUGUGUCUUCGGUCGGAUAUUGAUUUAAGUAAAUAUGUGUCAGCGGACUUUACUUGUGGUUUUUGUGACUGCUGUCUACGUAUGGAAUUGUCAGCCAACGAAUGGAGAAAAUACAGAAAUAUCCACUGGAAUCUGCUCCAGUAAGGACAUCCGGAACAACGUGACCAACCUGCGCUCCCUGGAGAACUGCACAGUGAUCGAGGGCCACCUGAAAAUCAUCCUCAUGUUCAAGACCAAGCCCGAGGACUUCAGGGGCCUAAGUUACCCCAAACUGACCGUGGUCACAGACUUCCUCCUCCUGUUCAGGGUCUACGGCAUGGAGAGCCUCAAAGACCUCUUCCCUAAUCUCACUGUGAUCCGAGGUAACAACCUGUUCUUCAACUAUGCUCUGGUCUUCUUUGAAAUGCUGCAGCUCAGGGAUAUCGGCCUCCAUAGCCUGAUGAAUAUCACUAGAGGAGCGGUGAGAAUCGAGAAGAACCCAGACCUCUGCUACCUCUCCACCCUGGACUGGUCCAAGAUCCUGGACACGGUGGAGGACAACUACAUCGUAGCCAAUAAGAAUGACCGGGAGUGCGGGGACGUGUGUCCUGGGGCGGCCAAGGGGAAGACCACCUGUCAGCAGACCACCAUCAACGGCCUCUUCAACGAACGCUGCUGGACGCACAAGCAUUGCCAGAGAAUGUGCCCCCCCAGCUGUAAGCACCGGGCCUGUACCAAGGACAACCAGUGUUGCCAUGAGUCAUGUCUGGGGGGCUGCUCUGAGCCCCAAAACAGCAGCAGCUGUGUAGCCUGCAAGAACCUCCAGCACCAGGAGGCCUGUGUGGACCGCUGUCCCCAGGGAUAUUACACCUACAGGGGCUGGCGCUGCGUCCCCUUCUCCUUCUGCCAGGACCUCCACAACAAGUGUAAGCAGAGCAAGAGCAGCGACUGCCAUGAGUAUGUUAUCCACAACGGAGCCUGUAUACCCGAGUGCCCCUCAGGAUAUACUACUGUCAACUCCACCACGUUAAUCUGUACUCCAUGUGCUGGGCUGUGUCCUAAGGUGUGUAUGGGCCAGAAGAUGGUGGACUCUGUGACAGCAGCACAGGCUCUGAGAGGAUGCACCGUGCUCAACGGCAGCAUGGAAAUCAACCUCAGAGGGGGAAAUAACAUAGCAGCAGAGCUGGAGGCUAACCUUGGUCAGUUGGAGGAGAUAACAGGGUAUCUGACUGUCCGGCGCUCCUACGCCCUCGUCUCUCUCUCCUUCCUCCGCAAACUACAGGUCAUCAGAGGGGACACACUGAUAGACGGGGGUUACUCGUUCUAUGCGUUAGACAACCAGAACCUGCGUCAGCUGUGGGACUGGAACAAACACAACCUGACCAUCCUCCAGGGACGCAUGUUCUUUCAACUAAACAUUAAGCUCUGCAUGUCAGAGAUCCGCAAGAUGGAGGAGGUGACAGGCACCAAAGACAGACAGCACAAGAACGACAUCGUAUCCAAGACCAAUGGAGACCAGGCCUCCUGUGAGAACCAGGAGUUAAGGUUCACUCAGGUGCGUGCCACACAUGAUAAGAUCGUGAUCAGGUGGGAACCGUUCUGGCCUCCUGACUUCAGAGACUUGCUGGGCUUCAUGCUCUUCUACAAGGAAGCGCCCUACCGCAACGUGACAGAGUUUGACGGCCAGGACGCGUGUGGUUCUAACUGGGUAAUAGUUGACCUGGAUCCUCCAGCCCGGGCUACAGAGGGCAACCCACAGGUGGAGCCAGGUACCCUGAUCUUGUCUUUGAAGCCCUGGACGCAGUACGCCAUCAUGGUUAAGACCCAGCUCUCUGCCUCUGAUGAACACCAGGUCCUCGGGGCCAAGAGCAAGAUCAUCUACGUCAGGACCAACGCCACCAAACCGUCAGUGCCCCUGGACCCCAUCUCAUCAUCUAACUCGUCCUCUCAGAUCAUCCUGAAGUGGAAGCCCCCAACGGACCCCAACGGCAACAUCACUCACUACCUGGUGUACUGUCAGCAGCAGCCUGAGGCCAGCGAGCUCUACAAGUUUGACUACUGUCAGAAAGGUAUGAAGCUGCCGUCACGGGUGCCCACCCAAGUGGACAGUGAUGAGGAGGCCAAGUGGAACCAGACUGAGGAUGAGGGGCAGGGUGGCCGCUGCUGUGCCUGUCCCAAAACAGACAAACAGCUGAAGAAGGAGGCAGAGGACUCAGAGUACCGCAAGACCUUUGAGAACUACAUUCACAACGAGGUCUUCGAGCCCAAACCAAGACAGCGCCGCUCCGCCAUGGGCGUAGCCAAUCAGACGCUGCCGUCAUUCGCGGCGACGCCCACCACCCUGUCCGAAGGUUUCGCCACCCGCGGCCCAGACAGUGACGAUGCAAAUGGUGUGGAGAGCACUAAAAUCCAGCUGACAGUGUUUUCCAAGGAGUCUACGGUCAUCUCCGGCCUCCGACACUUUACCUCGUACCAGAUCGAUGUGCUGGCCUGCAACCACCCCACAGACCCCUCACGCUGCAGUAUGGCAGCCUUCGUCUCAGCUCGCACCAUGCCUGAGGACAAAGCAGAUGACAUAGUGGGGCCCAUCAGCUAUGACGUGACUGAGUACACAGUUCAUAUUAAGUGGCUUGAGCCUAAUGCCCCCAACGGCAUGAUCAUCCUGUAUGAAGUCAACUAUAAGAGACUGGGAGACACAGAGGAGCUGCACCACUGUGUGUCCAGGAAGAUGUACCAGCAGUCGGAGGGCUGCAAGCUGAGAGUGGUGCAUCCUGGGAAUUAUACCGUGAGGAUCCGAGCCACCUCGCUGGCAGGAAACGGCUCCUGGACUGACCCCACGCACUUCUAUGUAGAAGACCUGCGGGUGGAUCCAUCCAACAUGUUGAAGAUUAUCAUUGGUUCAGUCAUUUUUAUCGUUUUGCUGAUACUGAUGACAGCGGGAGGAUUCCUCAUGUUCAAGAAGAAGCAAACCCAGGGCCCCUCUGGACCCCUCUACACAUCCUCCAACCCAGAGUACCUUAGUGCUGCUGACAUGUACGAGCCAGACGACUGGGAGGUGGGCAGAGAUAAGAUCAACAUCCUGCGUGAACUGGGUCAGGGCUCGUUCGGCAUGGUCUACGAGGGCAUCGCCAAGGACAUCGUGAAGGGCGAGCCGGAGACAAGCGUGGCGGUGAAGACGGUCAACGAGUCGGCCAGUCUGAGAGAGAGAAUAGAGUUCCUCAACGAGGCCUCCGUCAUGAAGGGCUUCACCUGCCACCAUGUGGUGCGUCUGAUGGGUGUGGUCUCUAAGGGCCAGCCCACUCUUGUUGUCAUGGAGCUGAUGACACACGGUGAUUUGAAGAGCUACCUGCGCUGCCUCCGCCCGGACUCAGAGAAUAACCCUACAGGGCGCCCGCCCCCCACUCUGAAGGAGAUGAUUCAGAUGGCAGCAGAGAUAGCAGACGGCAUGGCCUACCUCAACGCCAAGAAGUUUGUCCACAGAGACCUGGCUGCUAGAAACUGCAUGGUGGCGCAGGACUUCACUGUCAAGAUAGGAGACUUUGGUAUGACCAGAGACAUCUAUGAGACAGACUACUACAGGAAGGGAGGGAAGGGUCUGCUUCCUGUCCGCUGGAUGGCUCCUGAGUCUCUGAAGGAUGGAGUGUUCACUGCAAACUCAGACUGCUGGUCAUUUGGUGUGGUGCUGUGGGAGGUCAGUACCCCUAGCGGAGCAGCCAUACCAGGGUCUGUCCAACGAGCAGGUCCUGAAGUUCGUCAUGGACGGAGGAUUUCUGGACCGACCAGACAACUGUGCUGACCGGCUACACGACCUGAUGUCGAUGUGCUGGCAGUAUAACCCCAAGCUGCGUCCCAGCUUCCAGGAGAUCAUCGAAAUGCUCCACGAGGACCUUCACCAGUCCUUUCAGGAGGUCUCCUUCUACUACAGUCAGGAAAACAAGCCUCAGGAGCAGGAGGACUUUGACCUAGACAUGGACAACAUGGAAAGCAUUCCCCUGGACCCGUCCUCCUACUCCCAGAGAGGGGACCACAGUUCCUCGUACUCUCAGAGGGGAGACCACAGCUCGGAGAGGGACGAAGCGGGUUCAUCGCUGGGGUUGAGACAAAACAGCUACGAGGAACACGUCCCGUACACACACAUGAACGGGGGAAAGACGAAUGGACGGAUACUAGCUCUGCCUCGGUCUAGUCCCUCCUAACAGAACACUGUAUGGAUAUUGUAUCCCUAUCUCCCCUUAGGCCCAACCUUUCCCUCACACAGAUGCAUAGAUAUGAAUAUAUUUUUGUUUUGUUUUUUCAUUUUACAUAGAUAAACACUUUUAUCACUCAGAGGCCCUCUCGAAGUGUACAUAUCUCAGGACGUUAAUGCUCUCUUGUCAAGAUGCCACAUCCAAUAGACUAUGGUAUGUAUGUUAAUGUUCACACAAGAAACACACAGACACAACCACACAGACACUUUUUGUAUUUAAGAAAGAACCCCCCGUGCUUCUUUCUAGUCUUUGAUCCUUAAAAAAUAUAUUUCCAAUCUUCCACAAAUGGGUGGCAGUUUGGGGAAUCAACUGUGAAUCUAACUUUGGGACAACCAGAAGGCUGCUAACCCGAGGACUCUCCAGACUGUCCCUUGCCCAGGCCGAGGCGCUCUCCCUUGGCAGGUCAGCCCUCACUGGGUCCCUGGGGCUCCCUGGGCCAUGGAGGUCCACCUGGGUCGCUCAAUGUAAAAGUGCCCUUCUCUUCUAUCUCUGGCUGUAGCUUGCAUCUUAUGUCAUGGAGCUGUGUCUCUGUAUCUUUGUACUCUCAAGUCGUCAACAAACAACACACUUGAGAACUAACUUUUGGAUGGAUGAAUGUAUCUAAUCCAAUUUUAAAUCUUCAAGCAAACUUUAUCGAUCCACUGGAGAAGCUUGUUGUCAAUUUUCUCCUCACACUCUGCAGUAUUCCAGCAUCACACAGAAAUAAUUAACAGAUUUUUGGGGUUAUAUAUUUUUAAUUUAUUUACGUUUCAUUUUCUCUUUGCGUUUUCACAUUUACAGCUGAAGGAUAUUUAAAAAACUGUUUCAGAAAAACAUUUUGACGAAAGAAACGAGUUCCUCGGAAGACAUAGCUGCUUCUUUUUAUAUAUUUUAGUGGGUAUAGAAAAUAGAAAUAUAUUAUUGAUAUUUUUUUUUUGUACAUAGUGGUUGACAUACAUUGUCUUUCAUGAGGUAUUUCCAGUCUGUAGAAAAAAAGGUUUUACAUGUUUGUCUCUUAUGUUUAUUUUUUUCUAAUCCAGAAUUCAUACUAAUAAUCAUUUGGACUUGUGAUAAACCAGCAGCAUUUGGUAUUUUCUCUUGGCUUGGCCCGUUGAUAUCAGAUCAAAUCAAACUGUCUGCUUUUCAUAAAUAAAGCAGCACGGUGCAACAUGACCACGCUCUUUCUCUGUCCACAUGCUUCUGUUUACUUUGUUGUUGUUUACUAUGUCAUGGUGUCAUGUGUACAAUUUAUCUAAUAGGUCGUUUGCUGAAAUAAAAGAUCCCAGAAAUCUUA